GAUAAUGAGGAGAAGAAACAGAUUAUUACUGAAGAUUAUGAGAAACUUAAAGUCAAAGUUGCCAAAUUAUUGGAAGAGGAGGAACAAUACUUCAAGGAAAAACAGAUCAUUAUUGACAACAAUCAAAAUCUCAUUUCUGAGAAAGACAAAGU